rnacentral:sRNA from 1 species
AAAUGAGGGCGAUUUAGGCUGCACUUAAAAUGAGUUUAGGCAGGGACAGCCAAGUCACCUUCCAGGGAAGAGUCUCCCCCGGGAGUGAGACCCGGCGGCUUCUGUUGUGUGGUCGGCUGUGCAGCAUCGUGAUGAGAAGGCACAGGGGCCAGGCCGCGGAACUGUCUAAAGAGGGGACUCCCAGCUUCAAGGACUUUUUUAUGUGACAGCUCUGCCAGGGAGGCCUGGAGACAUCACCACAGCCCCCACCCUCAGACAACACCCAUGAGUCAGCAGAGCCUGUUGGCCUGACUCCUGAGUGCCGUGCGGCCCCUGGGAGAAGUCACUGACACGGCUGAGUAACGGCGCCUCGGCCCUCAGCUGGCUCUGCCGUUUCACAGCAAGGGACGGUUGAUGAUGAAGCGCCGGCCGUGUAAAUGAAGAUCGGGUGAGGAGCAGGACGAUGCCCAAGGGUGGGUGCCCUAAAGCACCACAGCAGGAAGAGCUUCCCCUCAGCAGCGACAUGGUGGAGAAGCAGACUGGGAAAAAGGAUAAAGAUAAAGUUUCUCUAACCAAGACCCCAAAACUGGAGCGUGGCGAUGGCGGGAAGGAGGUGAGGGAGCGAGCCAGCAAGCGGAAGCUGCCCUUCACCGCGGGCGCCAAUGGGGAGCAGAAGGACUCGGACACAGGACCGCCGGGGUCCUGCUUGUCCUGGGGCAGCCACGAGGGAGCCCUCGUCAGGAGCGCCGUGGGCCGAAGCUGCCUGCCCUCUGCACGUGGAUGUUUCUUUGGAACAAGGGGAAAAAUUAUGAUUUUCUUAUUUUGCUUUGACCUGUGAAUAACACCCUGGUCUCUGGUGCCUGGGGUGUGCUCUCUGCAGUGCUGCCGGGCACAUGCUGGUUCCUUCAGCGUUAGGUGCUUGGCACCUUCAGUCUUUUCCUGACGUCAUGUUUGUUCCUGGUGCCUCAGAUAGGAGACGGCUCCACUGACGGCUCCUGCUUCCCCAUUCCUGGAGGGAAGACAGACUUAGCCAAUGGUAUCUGUGGGACUUCUUGGAACUCUGAAUGCCAGACCUUGCCCAGUGCUAGAGGCGACAAGUGUGUGAAGUUGAAGAGGCUUCUCCCACCCGCUCAGCUGCAGUGGACCCGAGCAGGCAGAGAGAGCAGAGUGCAGCAGGGGCCAGGCUGUGCUUGCAGGCAGGGCAGGUGCCUGGAGAGCAUGGCGCCCCUGGGAGCCUCUGGCCAGGAAGGGCAUGUGCACUGCAGUGUGCCCUGGACCAGUGGCCUCAGCUCAGUGUCUUGACGAGGGUCCCAAGGCACUCACGUGUGUAGGGAUGUUAGCAACACACGGCGGGAAGCCCUGAUGCAGUUUCUCACCGAGCACGUAGCAGACCCCACGCACCCCACACAGGGCAGGCACCCCACACAGGGCAGGCACCCCACACAGGGCACAGACCCCACGUACCCCACACAGGGCACAGACCCCACACAGGGCACAGACCCCACGCACCCCACACAGGGCAGGCACCCCACGCAGGGCACAGACCCCACGCACCCCACACAGGGCAGGCACCCCACACAGGGCACAGACCCCACGCACCCCACACAGGGCACAGACCCCACACAGGGCACAGACCCCACGCACCCCACACAGGGCAGGCACCCCACACAGGGCACAGACCCCAUGCAGGGCAGGGCCAGCCCAAGCCCAGGCCCCUCCCCUGUAGAUCUCCUCCCAGGCAGUACCAGAGCCACGGUCACUUCCACACCAUCUCCUUCCCUAGAAACCUCGGCAGACUCUUCCUCCUCUCCUGGCUACACAGGGGCCCCUGCCGCAGCCUGACCCUCCGCCACCUCCUGAGUCUCCGGAAAGCAGGGUCGGCCUCUGAAUACAGAGGACUUGGGUCCUGCUGGAGGAUGCUUGGCCAGUGGGUGCUGGCACGCGAGCAGCCCGCGGGGAGUCAGAGUGGGGCUGCAGCGAAGGCUGUGGUGGUUGAGGUGAGGGUGGUGGCCAGGUUUUGUUGCCGUAGUGAGGAUUCUGGGGUUACCCUAAGAGCCACCACAUUCAGGCACUCAUGAAAAAGCACAUCAAAAUAAAAUAUUUUCACAUG